UGGGGAAUAUUGCACAAUGGGUGGAAGCCUGAUGCAGCAACGCCGCGUGCGGGAUGACGGCCUUCGGGUUGUAAACCGCUUUCGCCUGUGACGAAGCGUGAGUGACGGUAAUGGGUAAAGAAGCACCGGCUAACUACGUGCCAGCAGCCGCGGUGAUACGUAGGGUGCGAGCGUUGUCCGGAUUUAUUGGGCGUAAAGGGCUCGUAGGUGGUUGAUCGCGUCGGAAGUGUAAUCUUGGGGCUUAACCCUGAGCGUGCUUUCGAUACGGGUUGACUUGAGGAAGGUAGGGGAGAAUGGAAUUCCUGGUGGAGCGGUGGAAUGCGCAGAUAUCAGGAGGAACACCAGUGGCGAAGGCGGUUCUCUGGGCCUUUCCUGACGCUGAGGAGCGAAAGCGUGGGGAGCGAACAGGCUUAGAUACCCUGGUAGUCCACGCUGUAAACGGUGGGUACUAGGUGUGGGGUCCAUUCCACGGGUUCCGCGCCGUAGCUAACGCUUUAAGUACCCCGCCUGGGGAGUACGGCCGCAAGGCUA
rnacentral:rRNA from 1 species